rnacentral:tRNA from 1 species
GGUUGGGUAGCUUAGUGGUUAAAGCGGCCCUAGCGCUCUCCCUGCUUGCAGGGAGAGCUUCUCUUCGAAUAGCAUCUUUAUAUAGUCGCUAUUCGAAGGGUAGUCUGGAGUUCGAAUCUCCACCCAGCCA